rnacentral:rRNA from 1 species
UACGGAGGGUGCAAGCGUUAUCCGGAUUUACUGGGUUUAAAGGGUGCGCAGGCGGAUAUGUAAGUCAGUGGUGAAAUCUUCCCCGCUUAACGGGAAAACUGCCGUUGAUACUAUAUAUCUUGAAUGCUGUGGAGGUAAGCAGAAUAUGUCAUGUAGCGGUGAAAUGCUUAGAUAUGACAUAGAAUACCGAUUGCGAAGGCAGCUUACUACACAGAUAUUGACGCUCAUGCACGAAAGCGUGGGGAUCAAACAGG